AAACUUACCUGGGCGAGGGAAUACCUUGAUCAGGAAGGUGAUUCUCCAAUGGCAAGGUUUAGCUUUCGCUCUGUAGGAACAACCUCUGCCAUUUUUCCAAAUAUGAGAAAGUCAACUGCAGGAGCUAUGGAGUGAUACAACGUUCUCUGUCACUAA
rnacentral:snRNA from 1 species